rnacentral:rRNA from 1 species
AGGAUGAACGCUGGCGGCGUGCUUAACACAUGCAAGUCGAACGAUGAAGGCCGGAGCUUGCUUUGGUUGGAUUAGUGGCGAACGGGUGAGUAACACGUGAGUAACCUGCCCCAGACUCUGGGAUAAGCACUGGAAACGGUGUCUAAUACCGGAUACGAGCUUCAGCCGCAUGGCUAGGAGUUGGAAAGAAUUUCGGUCUGGGAUGGACUCGCGGCCUAUCAGCUAGUUGGUGAGGUAAUGGCUCACCAAGGCGACGACGGGUAGCCGGCCUGAGAGGGUGACCGGCCACACUGGGACUGAGACACGGCCCAGACUCCUACGGGAGGCAGCAGUGGGGAAUAUUGCACAAUGGGCGCAAGCCUGAUGCAGCAACGCCGCGUGAGGGACGACGGCCUUCGGGUUGUAAACCUCUUUUAGUAGGGAAGAAGCGAAAGUGACGGUACCUGCAGAAAAAGCACCGGCUAACUACGUGCCAGC